rnacentral:rRNA from 1 species
AGAACGAACGCUGGCGGCAUGCCUAGUACAUGCAAGUCGAACGAAGGCUUCGGCCUUAGUGGCGCACGGGUGCGUAACGCGUGGGAAUCUGCCCCUUGGUUCGGAAUAACAGUUGGAAACGACUGCUAAUACCGGAUGAUGACGAAAGUCCAAAGAUUUAUCGCCAAGGGAUGAGCCCGCGGUAGGAUUAGCUAGUUGGUGAGGUAAAGGCUCACCAAGGCGACGAUCCUUAGCUGGUCUGAGAGGAUGAUCAGCCACACGUGGGCUGAGACACGGCCCAGACUCCUACGGGAGCAG